GAAGACUGUUAGAAGUAAUCCACUCGAUUUUGCAGUGCUGUGGGGCCAAUAACCUUUGGCAAGGGAAGAGGUUAAACCAGAAGCAGUUUUGUCUUAAGCAAGAAGAUAUUCGGAUAGUCCCAGAGAAAUGCUGAGAUUUGCGUUGAUCUAAUGAAGAAGAUAAUAAUGCCAUGCUUACAUGGAAUCAUGUACUUCUGUAUGCUGGUCCUUUUUCCUUAGAGGGACAGAAUCUUCCCGUGGCUGAGAACCAGUGCAAACUGCCAUAGGACUGAGGACCAUCUUAUACAUUCACAGCAAGACAGAGGGGAAACCCCCCCACAGAAUUAUUUCU